rnacentral:tRNA from 1 species
AGAAUGAUGGCUGAGAGGUUUAAAGCACUAAUUUGCUAAGUUAGCACAUAGAUUACUAUGUCAUGGGUUCGAAUCCCAUUCGUUCUA